UCCAAAGGCCUGCCUCUUGAAAUAAGGAGU
rnacentral:piRNA from 1 species